UGGUGGAGUGAUUUGUCUGCUUAAUUGCGGUAACGAACGAGACCUUAACCUGCUAAAUAGCCAGGCUAGCUUUGGCUGGUCGCCGGCUUCUUAGAGGGACUAUCGGCUCAAGCCGAUGGAAGUUUGAGGCAAUAACA
rnacentral:rRNA from 1 species